GAUGAACGCUGGCGGCGUGCCUAAUACAUGCAAGUCGAGCGAACGGACGAGAGGCUUGCUUCUCUGAUGUUAGCGGCGGACGGGUGAGUAACACGUGGAUAACCUACCUAUAAGACUGGGAUAACUUCGGGAAACCGGAGCUAAUACCGGAUAAUAUUUUGAACCGCAUGGUUCAAAAGUGAAAGACGGUCUUGCUGUCACUUAUAGAUGGAUCCGCGCUGCAUUAGCUAGUUGGUAAGGUAACGGCUUACCAAGGCAACGAUGCAUAGCCGACCUGAGAGGGUGAUCGGCCACACUGGAACUGAGACACGGUCCAGACUCCUACGGGAGGCAGCAGUAGGGAAUCUUCCGCAAUGGGCGAAAGCCUGACGGAGCAACGCCGCGUGAGUGAUGAAGGUCUUCGGAUCGUAAAACUCUGUUAUUAGGGAAGAACAUAUGUGUAAGUAACUGUGCACAUCUUGGCGGUACCUAAUCAGAAAGCCACGGCUAACUACGU
rnacentral:rRNA from 1 species